AGAAUCUUCGGCAAUGGGCGAAAGCCUGACCGAGCGACGCCGCGUGGAGGAAGAAGGCCUUCGGGUUGUAAACUUCUGUUGGAGAGGACCAAACAAUGAGGGAAUCUCUGAGGAAGCACGGGCUAAGUUCGUGCCAGCAGCCGCGGUAAGACGAACCGUGCGUACGUUAUUCGGAAUCACUGGGCUUAAAGAGUGCGUAGGCGGCAUCGUAAGUUGGAGGUGAAAUCCCGUCGGCUCAACCGCGGAACUGCCCCCAAUACUGCGAUGCUUGAGGGAGACAGGGGCAUGUGGAACUUCCAGUGGAGCGGUGAAAUGUGUUGAGAUUGGAAGGAACGCCGGUGGCGAAAGCGACAUGCUGGAUCUUUUCUGACGCUGAGGCACGAAAGCUAGGGGAGCGA
rnacentral:rRNA from 1 species